CUCUCUCUGCUCCUCCCCCACUCAUGCUCUCUCUCAAAAUAAAUAAAUAACUUUACCUAAAUAAAUACAUAGUAAAAAAAUUAUAAAACAAACAACUGGGUAACCACCACUCAAUCCCCAGAAGCCCCCAACAUCUCCCAGUUGCAACCCCCUUUCCUGGAGGCCGCCAUCUUGAUUUUUAUAGUGAUCUCUUUAUUGCCUUGUUGUGUGGUUUUAGCAUGUAGGUGCACCUCCCUGGGCCUGUCUUUCAGCUUUACACAAGUGAAAUCAUACUGGAUGGAUUAUUUUGUGUCUUCUUUCUUUCACUCAGCUUUACAUCUGUGAGACUUCCAUGUGGACAUGGGCAGUUGGUUAUUUUCAAAGCCGUUGGCCACGAAUAUAUUGCAAUAGAGUAGUUCCCCCCCCCCCCCGCUGUUUAGCUAUUAUGAAAAAUGCCACUGUGAACACACUUACUCAUGUGCUGUAUACAUGUGUGGCAGAGCCUAUCUGUUACACAUAUAUGGAAGGUUGCUUGGUCAUACAGCAUGCAUAUCUAUAAAUCCCAGCCGUUUUCCAAAGAGAUUAUGUCAAUUUUCACUCCCAGAAACUAUUCUUAAGUCUUUCCAUUGUUCUACAUCCUUGUCAGCCUAUGAUAUUAUUAGCUUGUUUGUUUGUUUGUUUGUUUUUCAUGCAUCCUAAUCUAGUGGUUGGGGUUGCUGUCUCACUGUGUUUGACUUGCGUUUCCAUGAAUGCUAAAGACAGGGAGCACCCUUUGGGAUGUUUGUGGUUGCUUGGAUUGCCCUUCCCGUCAAAGUCCCUUUCCCAUCCUCUGUUGGGUACCUGAGUCCUCUGUUUCAGAGACGUUUGUUUCAAGUUGCUUUGGCACCGUGGAUCAGAACAGAAAUGGUUCGAGGAGACCCUUAAGUGUACUUCCUAGGAUGCUUUAGUCGCCAAGUGAGACAGCCCCCUACUGUCACUGGCUUAAGGACAUUGUCUAGUGGUGAAUCCCAGCUCAGUUAUACAAACAGGAACCCCGUUUUCUCUGCCCUCCUCUCAUCCACAAGGUGUUUUGUGUCAGGAUUUCAAGAGUCCCCCAAAUGGUAAGUAGAACUGGUUGCUUCUUUGUUCACACCCAUCAGAAAAGAGAAUCCGAAACUUUUCACUGACCCGUGUAAUCUCUGUCCUUCCCUUCAGUUUCCAGGGGCCCUUUCUGCGGAGCAGUGCCUGUCACCGGGAAUGCCAGGCUUUGACUGGGUUCAUGAGCGUCUCUUGUAGGAUAAAAUGAAAAGGAUGGGGGGAAGGUCAAUCUCAAAUGGCCAUCACAUUAUACCACCAAGCCUGCAGCUUUCAAAAAUGAUUUUUUUUUUAAUUUUCAGAGUAAAAUUCACUCUUUUGGUAUACGGUUCUCUGAGUUUUGACAAACUUAGAGUCCUGAAACCACCACCACAAUUAAGAUUUGGGAUAGCUCCCGUCAUCCCAAAACGCCGCUGUGCUGCCCUUUUGUAGCCGAUAGGUCGCUCUGCCCUUCCUUCCCACACCCCCCACCGCUGGAAACACUGACCUGUUCUUCAUCCCUAUAAUUUUGCCUCUUCCAAAAUGUGAUCUAAAUGCAAUGCUAUAGGAUGUCCCCUUUUGAGUCUGGCUUCUUUCACUUAAUAUGAUGUAUCUGAGAUUGGCCCAUGUGUGGAGUGCAUCAAUAUGUUGUAUGGAGGUACCACAGGUUGUUUAUCCGUACACAGCUGAAGGACAACCGGCUUGUUUCUACUUGGGGGUGACAAUGAACGAAGCUGCUGUAAACCUAAGUUUAUGAACGUAAGUUCCCAUUUCUCCUGGGUCUCAACACCCAGACGUGGAUCCCUGGGUGCUGGGUCGUAUGUUAAGAGUAUGUGUAACGUUAUGAAAAACUGCCAAACUGUUUUCCAAAGUGGCUGGAUCAUUCUGUAUCCCCACCAGCGAUGAAUGAGAACUCUCUUGCCUCUAAAGAGAGCUUAGUGGGCACGGAAGUGCUUUGCAGAGAGUGAGGGCGCUACUCAGGGCACCGACGUGGGGGAAUUCAGAGGCGAUGGUUCUGAACUCUCAGCUCCCGUGGGCUCCUGGCCCACCUCGCUGUGUGCAGACAGGCCAUGUCUAUUUCCAGGGCAUUUGCUUCUCCGAAGGGAGACGGGGCAACAUCACUCUGCCCAUUUCGCAAGGGAGGGCAUAGCACUGCUUUUCUCGGGUGAGCCAGCGUGGCUUUAUCUAGUAACCAUCGGGAGCAGGAUUCCAUCGGCCUCGUAUUUUAUUCCAAAACUCACAAAGUAAAAUGAAGUAUGGGCAUUUGGAGCAUUGUUACGCUGUGUGGCAAGAACUAGGCAAGGACCACAUCCAAAUGCACCAUCAGAAUGUCAGAGCUGGCAGGGACCUUAGCAACUCUCACUUUAGACCUGGUAACCUGUCACACACCCGGGUCCCCAAAAGCACAGGACUCUGCAUUCCAGAUGCAGGGCAGGGGCUCACCAAAGGUGAGCUGGGACAGGCUCAUCAAUCAGGGUAGCUAUGCACCGGGGAGCAGAGAUGAGGCAUCCCCCACACCUUCUCGUCUUUCAUCUGAGUGCCCAUUUCUGAGGCACCUUCGCAUUUCAAACGUCCUGAGAAUAUGUUUAAUUAGAACUUGGCCAUACAGCCUUUUGAAAUAAAACAGAAGGGGCCGGCUAAUUAUAUCUCUCAGCAUUCUGUGGCAAACAUAUAUUUUUUUAAUAAAACACUUUCCUAACCAGAGUAAUCCCUGGAGAUGCAAAUCCUCAUUUAUGAGAAGUUUCCCAAAGGGAGUUAAAGAGAAGAUGCCUUAUACAGAAAAGAGACAAAGAGAGUGGAGAAGUGUCUUCAAAGAGCUUGUAAAAGAUUAUUUCUUCAGGAUGACAUCCCAAAAGUAAAAUGAUGGAAUCAAAGGUUAAACCUUUACCUAACACAACACCGGCUGCAGAACAGACAGGACUUCAGCCAGUACGGUUACAAGCGUUCAUGGGGAGGCUCUUGACCAAUUCCUUACUCAAGGCCUUUCCUCUGGAACAGGCAAUUCUUAAUUUUGUUGUAGCUGCAUUAAAACAAAAAAGGCAAAAGAAA